AAUCAACGCUGGCGGCGUGCCUAACACAUGCAAGUCGAACGAGAAAGGAGACUUCGGUCUCUGAGUACAGUGGCGCACGGGUGAGUAACACGUGACUAACCUACCCUCGAGUGGGGAAUAACUUCGGGAAACCGAGGCUAAUACCGCAUAAUACCCACGGGUCAAAGGAGCAAUUCGCUUGAGGAGGGGGUCGCGGCCGAUUAGUUAGUUGGCGGGGUAAUGGCCCCACCCAAGACGGUGAUCGGUAUCCGGCCUGAGAGGGCGCACGGACACACUGGAACUGAAACACGGUCCAGACUCCUACGGGAGGCAGCAGUGGGGAAUUUUGCGCAAUGGGGGAAACCCUGACGCAGCAACGCCGCGUGGAGGAUGAAGUCUCUUGGGACGUAAACUCCUUUCGAUCGGGACGAUUAUGACGGUACCGGAAGAAGAAGCCCCGGCUAACUUCGUG
rnacentral:rRNA from 1 species